ACAUUGAAUACGAAAGUGUGGGCUCUAACAUGGCCUCAGCUCGAGGUUCAGAGGGAAGAGAAACAGUCCAGCAGUCGGAGGCCCUUGGAGACAGGUAUCACUGUGUUGCCCAGGCUGAUCUCAAACUCCUGGGCUCAACGGAUUCUCCCACCUCUUCCUCCCAAAGUGCUAGGAUUACAGGCAUGAACCACCGUGCCCGGCCUGAAUUAUCUUAAACAUCCCAGGGGGUUUCCUCAAAAUCCAGGUUUCCAGCUGCUGGUGGAAAGAACUCAAGCUCUCACAACCCUCAACCUCAGUUUACCACCCCAGUCCCCUCAUUUAUAGGAGUCUUCGACCUACAUCACCCAAAAAUCCCGCCGCACCCCCCGAACCACCUUCAACCAUAGCCACCCAAGAACCAGGCCAGACUGCUCAGAAGGAAAGGGAUGCCCCAUCCCUGAAACGUCAAAACCCCUCCCCCAACAUUGCUCCACUCUCCCCUGUCGGGCUGGGAAGGAGGUGGCUGGCUGGCCUUCUGGAGGAGGUGGCAUCCUACCUCCUGUCCCUUCUCUCAGCUACAGCCGCGGCAAAGGAGGACCCUGAGUCCAGGGAGCCCCCACCUCAAAAAGGCCCCAGCUGCUGGCCUGGGGGCGAGGGCCCCCUCAUGACCCACCAGCACAGGUCAUAGAGUCCUAGAAUGUUCAACGCCCAGAGUUCCAGAAAAGAUGCUGGCCCUGGGAGGGGAGGUCCCAGUCCAGGCCUCCCAGGACAGCAGAUGGGAACAGUGUCCUGACAACUCCACGGUGAGAGGCACUGCCCUGCCUUGUUCUAUCCAAAAUCUCCCUCCUUCCUUUCUCCUGGAGUCAAGCAUAGCUGACUUCCUUUUUUUUUUUUUUUAAUUUGAGAUGGAGUCCCGCUCUGUCACCCAGGCUGGAAUGCAACGGCACAAUCUCGGCUCACCGCAACCUCCACCUCCCGGGUUCAAGCAAUUCUCCUGCCUCAGCCUCCCAAGUAGCAGGGGUUACAGGUGUCCACCACCACGCCCGGCUAAUGAAGCAGGGAUGACUUCUAAUCCUACCCCUUGCCUGCUGUGUGGUCUUGGACAAGUUAAUCUCUCUGGGCCUCAGUUUCCACAUCUGGAAAAUGGGAAUUAUAAUCCGAUUUCACACCAUCAGGCUGAAGUGAAAACAAAAUUAUACACACUAAGCACUGGACACACUGUCUGCCCAGGUCCAGUGAGCAAUAAUUGUCAGCUAUGACUGUUGUUAUAAUUGUCAUAAAGUCACUCAACACAUACGUGCCCAAUACCGAGCCCUGUUGAAGGCCGCAGAGACAAAGGGCUGAACUCAAAGCCAGAGAAUAAACAGUUAAAUAAGCAUAAAUCGCCGGGUGCGGUGGCUCACGCUUGUAAUCCCAGCACUUUGGGAGGCCGAGGCGGGCGGAUCACGAGGUCAGGAGAUCGAGACCACGGUGAAACCCCGUCUUUACUAAAAAUACAAAAAAUUAGCCGGGCGUGGUGGCGGGCGCCUGUAGUCCCAGCUACUCGGAGAGGCUGAGGCAGGAGAAUGGUGUGAACCCGGGAGGCGCAGCUUGCAGUGAGCCAAGAGAUUGCGCCACUGCACUCCAGCCUGGGCAACAGAGCAAGACUCCGUUCUCAAAAAAAAAAAAAAACACAGAUCAUUACAGAUCCCAAAAGGGCUGUAAAGAAACAGACAGAAGGGGAUAGGGGGAGAAGGGUGGGAGUACACACGCUAAUCAGUGCCCACAGGACCCUGAACAGCAAGAAAGGGGUAGCCAUUUGAAAAAUGGAGGGAGGCUGUUCCAGGUGUGGGGGAACAGCCUGUGCAAAGGUCCUGAGGUUGGCAAGGGCCCGGGUGGGACUGAGGCCAGUGGGGAAACCAUGUGGUGGGUGGAGGACUAGGAAUGGGAGGCAAGAAAGGUGAUGGAAGGGGCAGGGCCCACUCAGGAAUCAUGCUGUGUCAUCAUCAUCACUGUCACUGUCACCACCGUCAUCUUCCUUGCAUCUUCCAUUUGUCACACCAAUUUUCCCCUGGGUGAAUGGCACAGACCCAAAAUGGGAGCCCCCUUCUUUCUCCACCCAAGCCCCCUCAACACCCCAAGUGCACCUAAUCCUUUAGAGAUGCCACUGGAAGCUCAUGGCCUUUAGGGGUGAGGAGUUUGAGGGCAGCACAGGGCCCCUGUGUCCCAAGGGCCCAGCACAGGCACUGGCACAGAGCUGGGUCUCCAGACAGUCCAGGAAUGGCAGAAAGGCUGGCUGUUGUUGUUUUUUCCAGAUAGGAUCUCACUCAGUCACCUAGGCUGGAAUGCAGUGGCACGAUCAUGGCUCACUGAAGCUUCUCAACCUCCUGGGCUCAGGUGAUCCGCCCACCCGAGCCUCCUGGGUUGUGGAACUACAGCCAUGUGCCACCAGCUCACUUUUUGUAUUUUUUGUAAAGACAGAGUUUCAAUAUGUUGCCCAGGCUGGUCUUAAACUCCUGGGCUCAAGCGAUCGGCCCACCUUGGCCUCCCAAAGUGCUGGGAUUACAGGCAUGAGCCACCACACCCGGCUUCCAAGCCUCAUUCUUUGCCAGCAUUAGGACCCAAAGCCCCAGCUGGCUGCCACUGCAUUGGUGUGCGCUCAGCACCGUGCCCAGCCCAGCAGGAGGUGGCUACAUUCCUGCUCACCUGAGAGUGUGUGGGCGGCAAGCCACCCAGGCACCGAGGCAAGAACUGGGGACACGAGCUGUUCCAGUAUCAUAAAAUAUAAAACAAGAAUAGUUAUACCAGAUAUGGAUCUUAGAUAUGAUUAUAUAUCAAUAUCAAUCACUAGUUGGUAGUAAUUACCCUUUAUUCCAUUAUUAUAAUAAUCCUCGCUCUAUAAUCAUAACCUAAGAAAAACCAGGCCAUACAGAGAUAGGAGCUGAGGGGACAUAGUGAGGAGUGACCAGAAGACAAGAGUGCGAGCCUUCUGUUAUGCCCAGAGAGGGCCACCAGAAGGGCUCCUUGGUCUAGCGGUGACACCAGCGUCUGGGAAGAUGCCCGUUGCCAGGCAGACCGUGGUCUAGCGGUAGCAAAAAGUGUCAAGGAAUACCACCCCUUACUUAGCAGACCGGGAAAGGGAGUCUUCUUUUCCCUGGGGUAGUUUAGAGAAGACUCUGCUCCUUCACCUCUUGUGGAGGGCCUGACAUCAGUCAGGCCUGCCCGCAGUUAGCAGGAGGCCUAACCGUCUUCCUGUGAUGCUGUGCUUCAGUGGUCACACUCCUAGUCCCCCUUCAUGUUCCAUCCUGUACACCUGGCUCUGCCUUCUAGACAGCAGUAGCAAAUUAGUGAAAGUACUAAUAGUCUCUGAUAUGCAGAAAUAAUGGCGUAAGCUGUCUUUCUCUUUGUCUCCUCUCUCUCUCUGCCUCAGCUGCCAGGCAGGGAAGGGCCCCCUGUCCAGUGGACACGUGACCCACGUGACCUUACCUAUCACUGGAGAUGACUCACGCUCUACCCUGCCCCUUUCGCUUUGUAUCCAAUAAAUAACAGCGAAGCCAGCUAUUCGGGGCCACUACCGGUCUCCGUACAUUGGUGGUAGUGGUCCCCCGGGCCCAGCUGUCUUUUAUCUC